ensembl:lncRNA
GUUUAAGAUCAAUACUUUUCUAUCUUGUUUAAAAAAUUCUUCCCUAUCCCAGGUUUAUGAAGCUGUUCUCCUGUAUUCUUUAGAGUUGUGCGUUUCACGUGUGAUUCUGUUGUAAUUUAGCCAUCUGCAAAUCUGCAAGUGAUUUUGUGAAUGUGCCAUUUUUUGUCUUAAGGGAUAUCUGGCUGUGCAGGUGCAGUUUGUGUAUCUGUGUGUGCGUAUAGCCAGGACUACCGACGGCCAGUGUCCUCAGCCACGUGGCCACCUGUGCCCGUCUCUUGCGGCGUUCUCCACUCCGUCCCACCGGUCUCUUUGCCGACCCCCCUUAGUUAUCACAGCCUCCUGAUGCCUGGAAGGGCGUGGGCUCCCAUGAAGCAUGUCUCGGUGCUUGUGGCUUUUUGCCCUUCCAUAUAAAUUUUAGAAACAGAACAGGUUCCCUCACAGAACCUGGUGGAUUUAUUAUUAGGACUGCAGUGAAUCUGUGGACCUGACAUGUUUACAAUAGCGAGUCCACCACAUCAAAAGGCGGUGUGUAGUCUUUAAAGAAGGGUGCCCAAAAUAACAGAAAAUAAAAAUAAAUCAAGAAUGGCACUCAACUUCCUGGGUUCAGACCCUGGCCCCACUUUUCACUGGCCACAAGGCCCUGAAGAACCUCGGUUUCCUUAUUUGUAAACUAGGGAUCCUAAUAGUACCUGUCUAUAGGGUGAUCGAGAGGACUGAAUGAUUAAACAUGUUGCAUGUAAUAUGUGGAAGGUGCUUAGAAUACUGUCUGGCAUGCAGUAAGUACACUGUCUGGCAUUGCAUAAGUACGUGAGCACUGAUUUCCAAACGUGCUUAUUUAUAUCAUUUUCAGUGUCCCAGGAAAGUUUUAGAAUAUUCCGUAUAAAAUGAUAUAUAAGAUUUCCCUGGUGGUCCAGUGGGUACAACUCUGCUCUUCCAAUGCAGGAGGUGUGGGUUCCAUCCCUGGCUAAGAAACUAAGAGUCCACCUAUCAAGUGGUGUGGCAAAAAGAAAAAAGUCUGUAAAAUACAUAAAAUAUGUUGCUGCUUACAUGCAUGAUGUAUAGAAAUAUGUGUAAUAAUAUUCCUAGGAACGUUAAGCAUUUUGAUACUAUUGUAAAUGGUAUUUUAAAAGCUUUUCUGGGGUGCCCGAUAUUGUUGUGUUUUUUGGUGUGUUUUGUGAGCCGACUAUGGUUAUCUCUGAUGAAGAAGUAUGGCGUGCUUAUGUUGUAUAAGAUGCUGCUUGGAGUGGACAAGAAAUGUGGAGUCUUCUGUCAGGGUGGCUGCCCACAUCCCUUGGUUUCAUAGGAUUGAACAUUCUCCCAAUUUGCAUAAUUCUAAAGUGCUGUAUCCCACUGACAUCUGUUGUUGAAACCCAUAGAACAUUCUGGAAAGCUGGUUGGUUCUGUCUUACACAUCAGGCUGCUUUCAGUUGUGUUACUUCGUUUCAGGUUUUGAAAGCAUUCGAGUUCCACGCUGGAUCAUGUGCCCGAGACCCUUGUGGGUUUCCUUUCCCCUAAAUUCUGUCCUAAAAAUGCCACACCCUUUGGGAUUGGAGUCACAGCUUCACAACUCAGCUCACAUCCUGUAAAGGAACAGUUCUCUGGAUGAAAACUCACGUUGUUCUUUUGCCGUUUGUCACGUGUCACGCAUGUCUCUGAGGAGUUAUAAUUUUUAAAAAAAAAAAGAAAGAAAAGAGAAAAUUUAUAUACAUAUAGAUAUGUAUAUAUACUCAAUGGUAAAGGAUCCGCCUGCCAAUACUGGAGACGUGGGUUCAGUCCUUGACUCGGGAAGAAGGAAAUGGCAACCCACCCCAGUAUUCUUGCCUGGAGAAUCCCAUGGACAGAGGAGCCUGGCGGCCUAUAGUCCAUGGGGUCACAAAAGAGUCAGAUACAACUCAGUGACUAAACAACAGCAAAAAUAAAUAAAUAAAUAUAUAUAUAUAUAUAUAUAUAUAUAUAUGCAUGUACGUAUGUGGAGAAGGCAAUGGCACCCCACUCCAGUACUUUUGCCUUCAAAAUCCCAUGGAUGGAGGAGCCUGGUGGGCUGCAGUCCAUGGGGUCGCUAGAGUCGGACACAACAGAGCGACUUCACUUUCACUUUUCACUUUCAUGCAUUGGAGAAGGAAAUGGCAACCCACUCCAGUGUUCUUGCCUGGAGAAUCCCAGGGACGGGGAAGCCUGGUGGGCUGCCGUCUGUGGGGUCGCACAGAGUCGGACACGACUGAAGUGACUUAGCAGUAGCAGUGUGUAUACGCAUGUGUGUAUAUGUGUGUGUGUGUAAAUAUAUAUAUGUAUUCACACAGGUUCCCUUCAGCUUCCCUGCCUCUGGUUUCCGUUCUCAGCCUUCUGGUCACAUGGUAGAUCUGCCCCACGUGGGAGGUGAAGCCCCAAACUCUGUAUGAUUUCACUUUGCGUCACAGGAGGCAGAAACUCAAAGUGAAACCCAUGAGAAAACCAAUGUGUUCUUAAUGGUUUUUACCCAAACCAUAAAUCCGUCUCUUGGAGGGAGAGGGGAAGCACCCAGCGUCUGAUCGGGUUUCUCUAGCAUGUUCCAGGCGGUGUCUGCUGAUUCAGUGAUUAUCUUCUGGGACUCACUCACUCGGGGUGUUUACUGAAGAUGCAGAUUCCUGGGCCUGACCUGGACCAAGGGAAGAAGAUGGCGGGAAGGAGGAGGAGGCAGGGAUUUGCAUGUUUUAAAUGACUCUCUGGCGGUACUAACAGUGCUGAUGGCAUGGUGGGUUCAGAUUUUCAUUGAUCACCUGUGGACAAUUUCAGAGAGACUUAAUUAGGGUAGUAACACCUCUUAGGUUCCAUGUGUCAGGCACUUGAUGUUUAAGCCUGUGGGUAAAUUACUAUUAUUAGCCCCAUUUUACAGAACAGGAAACGGAGGCGUGGAGAGGUUAAAUAAAUUACUCGAACAUCUGAAGGCUUCCCAGGUGGCACAGUGGUUAGAGAAUCUACCUGCCAAUGCAGGUAGAUGCAAGAGACAUGGGUUCGAUCCUUGGGUCAGGAAGAUCCCCUGGAGUAGGAAAUGGCAACCCGCUCCAGUAUUCUUGCCUGGGAAAUCCCAUGGACAGAGGAGCCGGGCGGACUACAGUCCACGGGGUCACAAAGAGUCAGACACGACUGAGCAGAGCACACAGCAAACAUCUGAUGGGGAACUGUCAUUGUCUUUGUGGAUCCUCAAAGUAAAAUCCUGCCCUUUCUUUUUUAUAAACUAAGCUGGACUCUAGCAGAAAUGGACCUGAAGGGUCCAGUUGGAUUAGAAUCAGGCUUUCGUACCGCGUUCUGUGCCUUAUGAAUCACCCAUUCGCUCAGCAAGCCCUUGCAGGGCAUUUGGAGGCCCCGUGGCUUGAGAAAGGGAUUGGGGACAGGAAGGCACACUCAGGGAAGCAGUGUGUCAGAUGCGCUCAUGACUUCUUAGCAGAUGCUGCAGACAGAGGAGAGGAUGGUGGGCUGGAAUAGCGGGGCUUCCAUCCGUUAAGCCGUUGCCUGUGCUAAGUGUUUACAGGUAAUUUUUCACGUGUCCCUCACAAGAAUCCUCUUCCUUGGCUUCAGUUGACCACUGAUUGAACAGACUUAGAGACGUAAAGAAACUCACCCGUGGUCGCACAGCUCCUAGGUUGUGACAGGAAGACAGUGCCUAUGUCUCUCCAGAACCCAGGCUUAAGCCACUAUACCCUCAAACAGGAUUUUCUGUUUUCUAGAGGGCAGUUACUAUCCACCUGAUAGUGACCCACUCAGCCCAGUCACUAAGAUCACUCUGAGUUUUAGAGAGAUCUUCUCAAAAGCUCAUAGCGUUAUUCAUCGUUUCCUUGGCCUCCCCACUUUGUCCCCCGGGUCUGUUGUUCCUGCCUGGCCCCUGGGCCAGGUAAGAAUCCUUCAAGCCCAUAUGAUGAUGGCCACGCUCAUAACAAGACUGAGGGACGUCUAGGGACUGGAGGAGGCCGAGAACUGGUUUUGUUUUGUCGAAUUUUUUGUAUUUGUGUAUUUGGCUGCGUCGGGUCUUAACUGCGGCUUGCAGGAUCACUUGCUGCAGUGCAUAGACUCUCUAGUUCGGGUGUGCAGGCUCAGUGGCUUCGCAGUAGGUGGGAUCUUAGUUCCCGGACCAGGAAUUGAACUCGUGGUCCCCUGCAUUACAAGGCAGAUUCUUAACCACUGGACCACCAGGCAAGUCCCCCAGAACUGGUCUCUGAAUGAGCACCCUAGCUUUGCCCACGAGUACACGAUGUGUUCACACUGGGCAGAGAUGGGGCAGCUGUCUGUGUCCUGAGAGCGCUCCUUAAUUUUCCUGAGGGAUGUUCAGCCUCUGGCAUUGUGCCAUAUGCAUAUAGGCAUUCAAUAUGAUUACUUUUGAACCUGUUUAGGAUCAUAGAGUGUUUGGUCAUGAAAACAUCCAGCUCGAUUUCUCCCUCUUGCUGAAAAGGGAAGGAAAAACGUUACGCAUUGAGAGACUCGCUCCAGGUAACUAGCUAGAGGCAAGUCUAGAACCUAGUUCCCUGCACCAGCACCGUACCUUCCUUCUGCCUCUUCGAUCCCACUUCAUGCCAGCACUGCUCUCAUCAAGCUGAAUCAUGUUGUGAAUAAGCCCUAAGAAUUUCCACUUCAAAAUGAUUCAUGUGGCAGGGCUUUCUUUUGGAAGGCAGGCUUACCUUCCUUAUUAUGUAUUACCUAGGCUGCUGAUAAAAUUAUUUUGUUUCUAAUUGUAUGAUGACUUUCCUGGCUGGCUCAGCGAUAGUCUGCCUGCAAUGCAGGAGAUUCGGUUCAAUCCUUGGGUCGGGAAGAUAUCCUGGAGAAGGAAAUGGCAACCCACUGCAGUAUUCCUGCCUGGAGAAUCCCAUGGACAGAGGAGCCUGGUGGGUCGAUGAUGGGAGAGACUCUUCUGAAAUAUCACCAGGCCCACUGCAGAGCUCCACACCCAGCAAAGUGGAAAAUCUCCUUAUGGAUAUUCCAUUUGCUUAUACAGGUUUUCAGUGGAAAAGAAGAAAACUUAACAAAAAGGUACAAUAGCGUUGUAAACAUCUUUAUUGCUUUUUAAUCUUCGAGGCCCCUGACCUUAUGAUCGAGGCCUCAGACAUACAAGUGUGGGCUGUAACUUACGCCUCCCUCUGACCCGGUGUCCUUGGAGAACAGGCCUGUGAGUGGAGGAGAGCUGAGAAAGAGCCCGUUCAUUAAGUUGGCUGUUUCAUUCAUUAAAAAUGACCCCACCAGUGGGGACCAGUCAAGGCUGUCGCAUCAGGGCCCAGGCCUGUGUUUUGCUCUACUCCGUGCAAAUUCUGUCGCACUGUCGUCCUCACCCUGACUUCACACUGAAGUACAGACGAGCUCAGGGCCUUUUUCUGUACUCCUCAGCAUUUCUUUUCCUUUUCGCCUUCAACAUUUUGUUGAAGUGUAAUGUGCCCACAGAAUGGUAUACACAGAUAAGCAAGGUCCUACUGUAUAGCACAGGGAACUAUAUUCAACACCCGUUGAUAAACCAGAAUGGAAACGAACAUGAAAAAGAAUAGACAUAUGUAUGAGUGAAUUGCUUUACUAUCCAGCAGAAAUUAAUACAUUAUAAACCAACUAUAUUUCAAGGAACUUUUUAAAAUAAAAAAAAAUUUUCAAGUAAAGUUUUCUUUAAAAAAGAUGAGUAUACACAGCAUAAAGGGACAGCUCCCUGAAUUUUCACCAGGUGAACCUGCCCCCGAGAGCUUUUGAGUGCCACAGGCCUGGUUUCCGAAUCUGGCAUCACCUUUACCCUCUGUGUCAGCGUGGGCAAAUUAUGGGACCUUUUUGCACCUUAGCUUGCUCACCUGGCAGUAGCUUUUCAUAGGUGUUUGUGGAGAGUAAAGAUAAUAUAUGCUGCGCACCCAGAGCCCGCCCUUUUUUGUAAUCCCAGGAGAGCCUCUGCAAACCAACACUCUCAAAGUGGGUAGUUGGAAGCAUGUAAUGUUAUGUAACUACUCACGUGUGUUUGGAAAUGUAGUUGACAACACAGACCAUUGAAAACAAAUGACUGAGACUGAUUUUGGCUCAGUGUCUUCAAGGAGAAACUUGGUUUGAAGUAGGUUAAAGUUUCACCCAAUUUGUCGGUACUUAUUCAUAUAUGUGGGAGAAGACUAUUGAGAGUCCCUUGGACUGAAAGUUGAUCAAACCAGUCAAUCCUAAAAGAAAUCAAUCUUGAAUAUUCAUUGGAAGAAGUAAUGCUGAAACUGAAGCUCCAGUACUUUGGUCACCUGAUGCAAAGAGCCUAUUCAUUAGAAAAGACCCUGAUGCUGGGAAAGAUUGAGGGCAGGAGGAGAAGGGGACGACAGAGGAUGAGAAGGUUGGAUGGCAUCACUGACUCAGUGGACAUGAGUUUGGGCAAGUUCUGGGAGAUGGUGAAGGACAGGGAAGCCUGGAGUGCUGCAGUCCAUGGGGUCACAAAGAGUCGGACACAACUGAGCAACUGAACAACAGCAAAUUCAUAUAUACGUCGCUUCGUU